GCCCUCUCAGGAUUGCACCUGGAGUGUUUCCAGUACUCUACUAGUCUUGGAUAUGGAAGGGAGAGUCAAGCAGGGGCAUACCCAUUCCAUUCCUAGCUUGGGUAGUGGCUAGCAAGUGGAAGACAAUCUGCUACAAGU